rnacentral:misc_RNA from 1 species
CAUGACUUCAGCUACCUCAAUCAUCAAUUUAGCCAAGAGUACGGCCCCACAAAGCUCAAGUCUAGGGAUAGACACCUGCUUUAUGGGAGCUACUUUUGUUUUAGAUGUAACUAACGAGACAUACACAUUUCCCACUUCAUCUACAACUCGCAGAUACACGACAGCCGCAUAAGCCACCUUCGAAGCGUCAGCAAACCCGUACAACUCGCGCUUAUAUUUAUUACAUGUGUGUAUCCAUCGUGGAAUUUUAAUAUUCUGUAAGGCAGUUAAAUUUUUACGGUAAGUAUUCCAUUCAAUUAUUAAAUUAGUAGGAACUGGCUCAUCCCACCCAAUACCAGCUAACCAAAGCUUUUGUAUGAGUAUUUUUGCUGCUAUAAUACAAGGAGCUAACCAUCCGAGUGGAUCAAAUAAUCGGGAUAUAUCAGAUAUGAUUUUCCUUUUUGUUACAGGUUCCUCCUGCGGUGCAAGAUCUACAGAGUACCGGAAGAAGUCACCACGCUGAUCCCAGGUAAGUCCUAAUAUUUUAGUUGUAUCAUCUACCUUAAUCCUUAAUUCCUCAUCCUUAUUACCCUUUGCUUUCCAUAUUUUAGCUAAUAUUUCCUUAGAAUUGCUUUUCCAUUUCUGCAACGGAAACCCUCCUUUCGCUAACACUUCGGUUAAUUCUUUAUAUAUUUUAUAAGCAUCUUCUAGGGUUUCACUUCCGGUCAUCACAUCAUCCAUGUAAAAAUCAUUCAAAAUAAUUUUAGCGAUUUCUGGCUUAUUCUGACACUCCUUAUAGGCUAACUCUUGCAGUGACCGCACAGCUAAAUAUGGAGCACAUGCGGUGCCAAAGGUCACGGUAAGUAAUUCAAACUCUUGAAGCUCCUUUUCAGGACUAUCUCUCCAAAGAAUCCUCUGAAAUGGAGUAUCUUCCCGAUUUACCAGCACUUGUCGGUACAUUUUCACCACAUCCGCCACCAAACAUAUCUUAUAUUGUCUCCAGCGCAUAAUUAUAUGACGUAGUUCGGCUUGCAGUGGCGGUCCGAUCAAUAAAUCAUCAUUUAAUGACUUCCCAUUGCUUCCCUUACAGGAGGCAUCAAACACUACUCGGACUUUAGUAGUAUCCUUAUCUUCCCGGACUACUGCGUGGUGUGGUAAGUAAAUAGCUUUUUCCGUAAAUUUAUCUUUAUCUGUAACUUUUACCAUAUGAUUUAAGUUUAAAUACUCCCUUAUAACUUGUAUGUAAUCCUCUUUUAACCUGAUGUUCUUUUGCAAUUUAAAUUCUAAAUUUCUCAAUCUUUUUUCAGCUAUUUUCCUGAACUCACCACGCAUGCAGUCCGGGUGGUUCGGCUUCAAGUUCCCAGAACCUCUUCAACAUAUUGUCCAGUUCCAGAUAUGAAUGCAUCACAGUUAUGUGAGAAUGGAUAUUUGACGUGCUCUCUACCUCACAGACGCCAGAUAUUAUCCAACCAAAAGCAGUAUCCUGCGCCAAGAGAGAUCCGUUGAGGUUUCUUUUAAUGCCUUCUUGAAUAAUCUGACUGAAUAUCUCCGCACCUAAUAAGAUAUCAAUCUUAUUAGGCGUGUGAUACUCGGGAUCAGCCAGAUCAUCCAGAGUCAGGUUUUCCCAUUCUACCCUAGUUGCCUUCGCAACUGGGAGAAGAGACGUAACCGACUUCAAGACAUACGCAUUAACCUUCACUUGAAACCUAGGAUCAACUCUCGACCUUAAAUUGAUUUUGACUGUGGACUUGGAAGUCACACUUUUAUCUCCCCCUACACCAACUAUGGUGUUUUUGACCGCAAGCCUUUUUAAACCUAAGCGCUGCACCAUAGCCUCGGUAAUAAAAGAACCUUGCGACCCCUGAUCCAAUAAAGCCCUAACUGGGAAAUAAGUCCCGUCCUUCGACUCAGCUUGCACCACAGCUGUAGUUAAUAAAACUGUUUUAGAACAGUUUCCUGUCGAAAAACAAGACACAAGUGGUUUAUCUAAACCUUCUGCUUGAACAGAUAACUUAUCACUGCUUGCGGCAGUAUCCUCAUCCGUUGACCUUCGACUGGUCGACGAGGUUGAUUGAUGAAUCGCCCCAACUUCAGCACUACCAGAACCAGAAUCACCACUGGGAUGUAAUAAAGAAUGAUGUCGACGUUUACACACCUGGCAU